rnacentral:rRNA from 1 species
AGUGAACGCUGGCGGUAGGCCUAACACAUGCAAGUCGAACGGCAGCACAGUAAGAGCUUGCUCUUACGGGUGGCGAGUGGCGGACGGGUGAGGAAUACAUCGGAAUCUACUUUUUCGUGGGGGAUAACGUAGGGAAACUUACGCUAAUACCGCAUACGACCUACGGGUGAAAGCAGGGGAUCUUCGGACCUUGCGCGAUUGAAUGAGCCGAUGUCGGAUUAGCUAGUUGGCGGGGUAAAGGCCCACCAAGGCGACGAUCCGUAGCUGGUCUGAGAGGAUGAUUAGCCACACUGGAACUGAGACACGGUCCAGACUCCUACGGGAGGCACCAGUGGGGAAUAUUGGACAAUGGGCGCAAGCCUGAUCCAGCCAUACCGCGUGGGCGAAGAAGGCCUUCGGGUUGUAAAGCCCUUUUGUUGGGAAAGAAAAGCAGCAGGUUAAUACCCCGCUGUUCUGACGGUACCCAAAGAAUAAGCACCGGCUAACUUCGUG